AUCUUUCCGCUUGGGGCAAUGACGUAGCUAAUGUGGUUCUAACCGAGGCGCGUCUAUUGUUGGUUGAAAACUAUUUCCAAAUCCCCUCUUAGGCCUUGAUUUAGUCUUGUGCUUUUGAGAGUUUCUUGAAGGCUCUCUUUUCAGAGUGAGC